rnacentral:rRNA from 1 species
GAUGAACGCUGGCGGCGUGCUUAACACAUGCAAGUCGAACGAGAAAUGUAGACGGAAACCUUCGGGCGGAAGCCUUCAUUUCGAGUGGCGGACGGGUGAGUAACGCGUGGGUAACCUGCCUCAUACAGGGGGAUAACAGUUGGAAACGACUGUUAAUACCGCAUCAGACCACAGCAUCGCAUGAUGCGGGGGUAAAAACUCCGGUGGUAUGAGAUGGACCCGCGUUCGAUUAGCUAGUUGGCGGGGUAACGGCCCACCAAAGCGACGAUCGAUAGCCGAUCUGAGAGGAUGACCGGACACGUUGGGACUGAGACACGGCCCAAACUCCUACGGGAGGCAGCAGAGGGGGAUAUUGCACAAUGGGGGAAACCCUGAUGCAGCGACGCCGCGUGAGUGAAGAAGUACUUCAGUAUGUAAAGCUCUAUCAGCAAGGAAGAAAAUGACGGUACCUGAGUAAGAAGCCCCGGCUAACUACGUG